rnacentral:lncRNA from 1 species
GUUUAUGAGUAUUGUUGAUCAUGUAUGGGAUUAAACAGGAUUACAGGUUAUGUCAGGCUUGCUACGGUUCCCGGCGGCCUUAUGCCGAUCUGGAUCCUAGCGCCGGUAACAGUCCGGAUUUCCGGGGCGUUACAUCUUUGGUCCCUUCGCUCCCAGGGUUGUCUGUAAGGCUCGGGCCUCUUGCCAUGCUUUUUCUCACGCCUCUCUGGCCUCCCUUCCUCUGGUG